UGAAAUCUUAUUCUCAUGAACAAAAGAAAAUUAACGAAGUCACAGGUGUAAUGUAUAAUACGUGAACGAGAAAAAUCCUCUUCCUUACUUUUUUAGGCCAAUACACACUAUAUGUAUGCAUAUACCAACGAGAUCAUCGAUGAUACGUGCACUGUUUUGCAAGUUUACAGGUAUAUAAUUCUAUCAUGGCCCGAAAAACUUAUUCGAUGGUACUUAUUUGAAAGUAAAUAUAAUUUGAUUCUUCAAUUCCUAAAUCGCGAGUAUCGCUACACACGAACGCGCACGCAUCGGAGAAAAAUGCUAACGACAAGUCAACGAGGUUUAAAGCUAAUCGAACGAAAAAAGAAAAUGAACAACUCCUUUUCGAAGAGGAGGUUGAUACAUCCGUAUUUAAAAAAGUGAUGCGCGCAAGGGACUGUUUGCGACGAUCUCUCGUCUCGGUGCGGGGAUGGGGGAGGGGGAAGAGGGAGGGGUUUGUAUUGUAUGCGACCAAUCGUAUUUAAGGCCGAUGAUUCUUGUCUCCUUUACAUCGUAGAGAAUUGACUAUCGAUCGAUCGAACCAAUCAUAUUCGUCGAUUGAGCGAUGACCACUCGGUGCACGCGAAUCAAUUUCUUUUUCUAAUUUUCAAAAUGCGAAACAAUCAAGUUGUUCGGAGGAGGGUGUCCAAUCGAAUGAAUCGCACAAUCUUUUUCUCUUUUUCUCGAAUCGAAUAUCGAUUCGAGCGAUCGCUAAAUAAAUUCCAAACCGACCAAGAAGGGACAAGCUUUGAGAUGUAAAGCAAGUCGUAAAGCGAUAAUGAUUCUUUCUAUGUGUGUAUAUGUGUGUGUGCGUGUGUGUAUGUGUGUGUCUCCGUGUCUGAUCUUGCGUUCUUCCUUCUUCUUCGAUCGACGCAGGAUACGAAAACGAACGAAAGCUCUUUUCUUCCGAUCUUAUUCCUCCUCCUCCUCCUUUCUUCCUUUACCUAUGACGACGAUGACGACGACGAUGACGAC